rnacentral:ncRNA from 1 species
UGGAAAAGGAAGUGAUCGAGCGAUGACAACUAGAAGGUAUGCUUGGAAGCUGUCAUCCUUUGAAGAAAGCUAGAGUAAUAGCUCACUAGUCUAGAGCUCCAUGGCAUCGAAAAUGUAUCAGGCUCAA